rnacentral:lncRNA from 1 species
GGCGUGAAGAGAGGGGCGGCUGUUUGGGGUCGUGUCUGUGUCGGUUGGGAACCGUGGCUCCAUCAGGGAGUACCCUUGGAAGGGGCUGCGUGGAGUGGCCCUGCCCCCUCCAUGUGUGUGGGGUGGUGCCGAAAAGGCAGACAACUCUUAGUGGUGGAUCAGUUGGCUCAUGCAUCGAUGAAGAACCCAGCUAUCUGCAAGAAUUAAUAUGAAUUGCAGGACACACUGAUCAUUGACACUUCAAAACACUUUGCAGCCCUGGGUUCCUCCCAGGGCUAUGCCUGUCUGAGCAUCGCUUGACUAAUGCCUGUUUCCUGUGGCACAUUCCGUGUGUCCAGGCAGCUCAUGGCAAAUGGGGAGCAAUCUGUGGUGUGUGGCAUUGUCUGCUUGGCAUGGUGAGUCAGAUGGCGGAGUGUUCUUUUCCGUUCAUGACCUCAGGUCAGACGUGGUGACCCGCUGAAUUUAAGCAUAUUAGUCUGUGGAGGAAAAGAAACUAACGAGGAUUCCCUCAGUAACUACGAAUGAAGAGGGAAGAGCUCAGUGCCGAAUCCCUGUCCCACAGUGGGGCACGGGAAGUGUGAUGUAUGAAAGCCCCCAUCCCUCGUGCCACUCUCAGAGGGCCCAAGUCCUCAUUGCUGGAGCCAUGCAGGAGGUUGGCUGGGCCUGCUGGCCCCCGGAGCCGCUGUCGACGGGGAAAGAUUGCGCUCAGUGUGCCCCAGCUGCGUGGUGCUGCUGGGCUGGACGCGGCUAUGAGAGGGCACCUGGGGUCUGCAGCGACAUUGGCUACCCACCCGACCCAUCUUGAAACACGGACCAAAGAGUCUAGCAUGUGCACAAGGUGGUGGCUCGUGCGAAAGCCCAUGGUGCAAUGAAGGUGAGGGCCGGUGCGUGCCAGCUGAGGUGGGAUGCCGGGGUGCUUGUGCAUUGGGCCCCAGGCUCACCACCGACCUGUCUUGCUGCACCACUGGAGAGGUGGAGCAUGAGCAUCCGUGCUAGGACCCGAAAGAUGGUGAACUAUGCCUGGGCAGGGCAAAGCCAGAGGAAACUCUGGUGGAGGUCCGUAGUGGUCCUGACAUGCAAAUCAGUCAUCCGACCCGGGUCUAGGGGCGAAAGACUAAUUGAACCAUCUAGUAGCUGGUUCCCUCCGAAGUUUCCCUCAGUGGGCCACUUUUGGUAAGCAGAACUGGCACUGCAGGAUGAACUGAACGCCGGGUUAAGGCACCCGAUGCCGACACUCAUCAGAGCCCAGAAAAGGUGUUGGCUGAUCCAUAUAACAGGAUGGAAGUUGGAAUCCACUAAGGAGUGUGUAACAACUCACCUGCCUAACCUACUAGCCCUGAAAAUGGAUCACACUGGAGCGUCAGGCCCAUACCUGGCUGUUGCCAGCGGUGCGGAGCCUUGGGGGCUACACCGUGACGAGUAGGAGGGCCGCUGUGGUGCACCUGAAAGCUUGGGACACAGGCCUGGGUGGAGCCGCUGGAAGUGCAGAUCUCAGUGAUAGUAGCAACUACUCAAACGAGAGCUUUGAAGGCCGAAGUGGAGCAGGGUUCCAUGUGAACAGCGGUUGAAAAUGGGCCAGUUGGUCCUGAGCAAAAGGUGUGUACAAGGCCCCAGGGUGUAUUUGGUGCUGAGUCCAUGGACCUCUGAUGCUGAGAGGAGAUAGUGCAGGCUGCACAAGAAGGGAAGCCCAGAAGAAAUGUUGAAGUUUCUGGGAUUGUUAAUUGGUCCCACUGGGGACCAUCACUACCACAGCUCCCCUAUGGACUAGUUAGAGAAGAAAAUGGGAGGCAGUGAUGAUGGGCAGGAAAA